UACGGAGGGUGCAAGCGUUGUCCGGAUUUAUUGGGUUUAAAGGGUGCGUAGGUGGCUUAUUAAGUCAGGGGUGAAAGACGGUAGCUUAACUAUCGCAGUGCCUUUGAUACUGAUGAGCUUGAAUGAACUAGAGGUAGGCGGAAUGUGACAAGUAGCGGUGAAAUGCAUAGAUAUGUCACAGAACACCAAUUGCGAAGGCAGCUUACUAUGGUUAAAUUGACACUGAGGCACGAAAGCGUGGGGAUCAAACAGG
rnacentral:rRNA from 1 species